GACGCAAGAGCAAGUAAAAAAAAAAUUACGCGGGCGUUCUCAGUACAUUUCCAGCAAUCAGACGGGCAGCAGGUGUCGUGGUUCAACCUUUGCAGUGUUUUGUGCAUCUCCCUCAGCGAAAAGCCAGCAAAUUAACUAAAAUCUAAA